rnacentral:lncRNA from 1 species
CAUAUGCAUCGGCACUCUGUGCGCUCCUUAAACAAAGAGACUGUGACAUAAUCUUCUUUAUAGCUGCAAUAUCUAGUCCUGUACCUGUUGAGUGGGGUUGCCUGUAGAUAUUAAAAGCCCUGAGGAAAUGUUCGAGGAGAGAGAGAAUCUAUCUAUAGCAAUCAUCUGAUUACAAAAAUAAUUAUAAAAGUCAUGGACCCAUGUGAGAUGGAGUGAUUUGCUGUUAAAGAGUCAAGACCUUAAUCACUGCAUCCCUAGAAUGUGACUCUUUUAAGGUUGGCUGCAGCCCUGCUUUCCAUAUAUAGUUAUCAGUGGUGAAGAUAGAUGAGAGGCCCUGGAUAGAUGAAAAGAGCCAUCCCAUUUGGGCAACCAGUGUCCAUCACUUGUUCAUCAAGGCUUACAACCAACCCAGAAGAGAAUGUCACCAUGUUUAUUAGAGUGAGAAACUCAAGACAAAAUACCAAAAGCAACUG